GGGCCCGCACAAGCGGUGGAGCAUGUGGUUUAAUUCGAUGAUACGCGAGGAACCUUACCAGGGCUUAAAUGUAAGUUGCAUUAGUUAGAGAUAGCUAUUUCUUCGGACUACUUACAAGGUGCUGCAUGGUUGUCGUCAGCUCGUGCCGUGAGGUGUCAGGUUAAGUCCUAUAACGAGCGCAACCCCUGUUGUUAGUUGCCAUCGAGUCAUGUCGGGAACUCUAACAAGACUGCCGGUGCAAACCGUGAGGAAGGUGGGGAUGACGUCAAAUCAUCACGGCCCUUACGUCCUGGCUACACACGUGCUACAUUGGGUAGAACAAUAAGUUGCUAAGUUGCGAAACCAAGCG
rnacentral:rRNA from 1 species